CGGCAAUGGAGGAAACUCUGACCGAGCAACGCCGCGUGAAUGACGAAGUACUUCGGUAUGUAAAGUUCUUUUAUCAAGGAAGAAAAGCAAAUGGCGAACCAUUUGUUUGCCGGUACUUGAUGAAUAAGCCCCGGCUAAUUAUGUGCCAGCAGCCGCGGUAAGACAUAAGGGGCAAGUGUUAUCCGGAAUUAUUGGGCGUAAAGGGUGCGUAGGCGGUCUAGUAAGUCAGUGGUGUAAUGGCAACGCUUAACGUUGUCCGGCUAUUGAAACUGCUAAACUUGAGUUAGAUAGAGGCGAGUGGAAUUCCAUGUGUAGCGGUAAAAUGCGUAAAUAUAUGGAGGAACACCAGAGGCGUAGGCGGCUCGCUGGGUCUUAACUGACGCUGAGGCACGAAAGCGUGGGGAGCAAACAGGAUUAGAUACCCUGGUAGUCCACGCCGUAAACGAUGAGUACUAAGUGUCGGGUUAAACCGGUACUGAAGUUAACACAUUAAGUACUCCGCCUGAGUAGUACGUACGCAAGUAUGAAACUUAAAGGAAUUGACGGGACUCCGCACAAGCGGUGGAUCAUGUUGUUUAAUUCGAAGAUACCCGAAAAACCUUACCAGGUCUUGACAUGUUUUUGCAAAAUGAUAGUAAUAUCGUGGAGGUUACCAGAAACACAGGUGGUGCAUGGUUGUCGUCAGCUCGUGUCGUGAGAUGUUAGGUUAAGUCCUAAAACGAGCGAAACCCUUAUCGUUAGUUGCCAGCACGUUAUGGUGGGGACUUUAACGAGACUGCCAAUGAUAAAUUGGAGGAAGGUGAGGAUCACGUCAAAUCAGCAUGCCCCUUAUGACCUGGGCUACAAACGUGAUACAAUGGCUGUUACAAAGAGUAGCUGAAAA
rnacentral:rRNA from 1 species